CCCAACUAUCCCUAUUAAUCAUUACGGUGAUCCUAGAAACCAACGAAAUAGAAUCAGUCCGUCCUAUUUCAUUAUUCCAUGCUAAUGUAUUCAGACGAUAGUCUGCUUUAAACACUCUAAUUUUUUCAAAGUAACAGUCCUGAUUUCCCAUCACACCAAAUGAAUGGCAUGAAAGUUCCUCAGAAGGUAGAGAUCCAUCUCACCAGUGCAGACAAUUAAGCCUGACCAAUGGGUAGACCCCGAGGUUCAACUACGAGCUUUUUAACUGCAACAACUUUAAUAUACGCUAUUGGAGCUGGAAUUACCGCGGCUGCUGGCACCAGACUUGCCCUCCAA
rnacentral:misc_RNA from 1 species